GAUGCAGAGGCCGGGGGUCAUCCUCCUUUUCUAAAAAAAAAAACUAGAGUCAAAAAACAUCUUACAGUAUGGGAUGGAGGGAGUACUUUCAAAUGCAAAAAAUGUUUUGAGACAUCAAUGCAUGAUUCUAGUUGUUCCCAUGGACUGUUGGUGUGGAAGCAGAUUGAAUGCCGAGAGGACAAAGUCAAUGCAGGAGAUCGUUUGUGGCUGCCCGGGUAAGUCAGAUGCAGAGAAUAGAAGGUCGUGUAGAUGCGAUUGACCUGCAUUAAUACGGCUACUGUGGGCGGCUGACAAUAGUUGGUAUAUAAUAGAGCAUCAUGAGAAUCACAGCCAAGCACAUAGAUGUGUACACGAAUGAUCUGAUACAGCUAGAUGAAGUGGCGCAGGAUGAUGGCGAGUUGUCCUCAUGGAUGGCAAAGGCGGAACGAGCUGCAAGCAGGAAGUGGGCGUGGACUCAGGUUGCGGUUCUUUUGGAAGAAGGUUUCGGCGAUUUCCCAACCUCCGGCAUGCAGGUCGAAUAAAGUGUUGCUAUAACUGAUGUGGAAAAUGGAUCCGGCCGUGUAUGUGCCGAUUGACUUUAGUGACACUUGCUCACACGAAGAGGGGGUCAGUAGCAUCUCCUGUAAGCGUAGGCAAACAAAGAGUUGGUUUUGUUGACUGUCUAUGUCGCUGUGUUUUUUCGGUCUCGCAUGUAGAGCUUUGACUACUAGCGUAGUUACUGGGGUUUGCAUUUUGGGAGCACUUGUUGAAGGCAGUAGUCUGAUAUGCG